ACAAAUAAGGAAGAAAAAAAAGUGAAAAAUUUAAGGGGAUCUGUUAUCUCAUUGUGGACUUGUAAUAACAUAUAUAUAUAUAUAUAUAUCUUAUUGUGGACUUAUUGAAGCUAAGUGAUGUAAGUAGGUCCAAUAAUGGUUAACCAACUAGAUAUUGCUCCUAUUACUCCCAAAAAAAAAAAAAAUGAUAUUGCUCCUUAACGAAUUUUAACAACAGGUUUUCCAAUUCAAAUAAGAAAAUUCAGGUUUAAUUGAGUAUCUGUAUGCUUGUUAAUAUGCAAGGCCGUUGGAAAAAAAAAAAUUAGGGACCUUAGAAUACAAAAUCAAACAAAAUAUGCAGGGAUACUAAGUACUAACAAAGAGCAAGUGUUACUGCAAUUUACAAUAUUAUCAGUAUUAAAUAAGUCAAAUAAUUAUGGAUUUUUUAAAUGGCCGCAAGUAAACAACGUCUGUUUAACCACAGAAACGAUGUCCAUUAAUAUUUAUUUUUUAUUAACAUUAAUUUUUAAUAUCAAAAUUGCGUUCUUUUCUCCUCCCUUUCUUUAGUCUGGUUCCGAGAAAUUUCAGCAAAAAGGGUCCAGAACUCACAAAAAGCUCUCUUCUCUUUCUCUCUCUCUCUCUCUCUCUCUUUCUAUUUCGUUUUCUCCGUGGGUUGAGGUCGGAUUCUUGGUCUUGAAGGCUUUUUUGUUACGUCAUCUUCACGCUCAUCAUUGAGACCGGUAAGCAAUAUGGCAUUGAGCAUCUCAAAUAGCUUGGUCGAAGUGACAAGGCAUGUGGAGUACAAUUUCCGCAACUUCGCCACCCAUUACACCAUCCUUAUCUUCUAUAUCUUCUUCUUGAGCAUCUUUGUGCACUCCUCCUGCAUGUUCGUUUUGAUCAACCUCGUCUUUGUUUGCUUUCUCGUUUACUUGAACUACCAACUCCCAAUGGUGCUCUUUAACUGUUGCAAUUAAUGCUGCACAUUUCUAAAGAGAAUUCUAAAAAUACUUAGGUGGCAAGUAAGAGUUUAAGUUUGACUUAACUUCCUCAUGUGUGUAAGUGUUCAAGUUGAACUUGGCUUCCUAGGAUAUUUAUGUGUGUAAGAGUUUAAGUUUGAUUUGACUUUCUCAUGUGUAUAAGUGUUCAAGUUAAACUUUGCUUCCUAGAACCUAAAAUGUUCAUCAAUUGUUGAGUUGGCUAAAGAACCCAUCUUGUACUUAUAUAAAUAGGAAGCUAUUGCUUCCACAACAUAUGUAACAAUUACAUUAAAAAAAAAAAAAAGUUUCUAUAUUUUCCCUUCUUCUUUUUUUUCUCCACCAAGAGUAUCCCACAAUAUCUUUCACUAAAUUCUAUCAAUGGUAUUAGAGCCUGGUUUGUUCAUAAACUAGGUGUAGUUAUUUUCAUUCACCAUGGCCGAGAACACCUUCCACACAAUUCCAGUUCCAGUUUUCAGUGGUGAAAACUACGAUUUUUGGUCUAUAAAAAUGACCAGUUAUUUUAGAUCCCAAAAACUAUGGGAUAUUGUCAAUGAGGGCUACACUAUUCCUGCUGAUAUUAUCAUUCUUGAAGACAAUCAAAAGAAGGAGCUUGAUGAGAAUCAACAAAAAGAUUCCCAAGCUUUGUUCAUUCUAUAACAAGCCAUGGCGGAUGAAAUCUUUCCAAGGAUUAUAGGAGCUACAACAGCAAAGGAGGCAUGGGAUACCCUACAGGAGGAGUUUCAAGGUAAUGUUAAGAGAUGAUAUCAUUGAUAUCUUGGCUUUUCUUGGGGCCUUCACCAUUUGGGCUAUGAUCUUUGUUUUCGAUAUCUGUUUGAAUCUCUGGGUUUCAUUCUGGAUUGCCUCUGCGCUUGCUGGAUUGCACGCCGUCCUAUGGGAGACGGAGUCUCCAACAGCGCCUGCUGCUUCAAAUGUCGCGGUUUGAUCUUGAUUGGUUCUUUGUUGAUUCCAUACAUUUGGCAUCGUUUGCAUAUUAAUUCCAUACAUUUGGUUGUACAGCUAGCAUGGCAUCGAUUCAUUUCUUGGGUUUUGUUCUUUAAUUGCUUUUAAGAUUUUUUGUUGAUUUUAAAUCUUGUAGCUAGUUAUUUCUCUUUUCGUUCCACAAAAUGUUCUGCAAAUGUAUAGUUAGGCUUUCUUUGCCACAUUACAUAUAUAACAAAUGAAUGAAACCAGCUGGGGCUUUAAAGCCAAUUAUGUAACCAGCUGGGGCUUUAAAGACAAUUAUAAUGUCAUAUCGUUUAUAAAUGUGGUUGAUCAUGUAUUAUAUUAUA